rnacentral:rRNA from 1 species
CCUACGGGCGGCUGCAGUGGGGAAUUUUGGACAAUGGGGGCAACCCUGAUCCAGCCAUGCCGCGUGCGGGAAGAAGGCCUUCGGGUUGUAAACCGCUUUUAGCCGGGAAGAAAAGGCGAGGGAUAACACCCUUCGUUCUUGACGGUACCGGCGGAAUAAGCACCGGCUAACUACGUGCCAGCAGCCGCGGUAAUACGUAGGGAGCGAGCGUUAAUCGGAAUUACUGGGCGGAAUCCGUAAGCAGGAGGUUAAAGCCCCGGGCUCAACCUGGGAAUGGCAUUGGAUACUGGCGGGCUUGAGUGUGGCAGAGGGGGGUGGAAUUCCGCGUGUAGCAGUGAAAUGCGUAGAGAUGCGGAGGAACACCGAUGGCGAAGGCAGCCCCAUGGGCUGACACUGACGCUCAGGCACGAAAGCGUGGAGAGCAAACAGGAUUAGAUACCCUAGUAGUC